UCAUCAAAAAGGGCUGUUGUAGAUAUUCUGUAACUGAGAAGUAUCACAGCCAGCUUUGAUGAGCA
rnacentral:pre_miRNA from 1 species